rnacentral:tRNA from 1 species
UGGGGUGGGGCUCGGUGGUAGAGCGCUCGCCUGCAUGCGUGAGGCACUGGGUUCCAUCCUCAGCACCACAU